UAGGGAAUAUUGGUAAUCUGGGAAACCGGGAACCAGCAACGCCGCGUGCGCGAUGAAGGCCUUCGGGUUGUAAAGCGCUUUUUGAGAGGAUGAGGAAGGACAGUACUCUUAGAAUAAGCCUCGGCUAACUACGUGCCAGCAGCCGCGGUAAAACGUAGGAGGCGAGCGUUAUCCGGAUUUACUGGGCGUAAAGCGUGUGUAGGCGGUUUGAUAAGUUGGAUGUGAAAGCUCCUGGCUUAACUGGGAGAGGUCGUUCAAAACUAUCAGACUUGAGAGUGGUAGAGGGAGGUGGAAUUCCGGGUGUAGUGGUGAAAUGCGUAGAUAUCCGGAGGAACACCAGUGGCGAAAGCGGCCUCCUGGGCCAUUUCUGACGCUGAGACGCGAAAGCGUGGGGAGCAAACA
rnacentral:rRNA from 1 species